UUAGAAAAGCAGUAGAUUUUGGAAACUCAUAUGCUUUCCACAUAUGCAGAAUCCUCAGAAGUUUCUCCUUAUCAUUGUAGGGUAGGUCCUUUAAUUCUUAAAAAGUCAAGUGAGAAUAUAGUGCAAGUGGAGCCCUUCAAGGUUUUGUGGCAAUAGUGCCUGCUGUGGACAGAAAAUUAUUGUUGAACUAAGGGAAGCUUUUAUUUUACCCUAUCCUCUCCUUGCCCAAUAGGGCUUCUCUUCAAAUGGUUGAUUCAGGUUAGCAAAAACAAAAUAACUGGCCUCACAUUGGCCAUCUUUAAUGGACAGAAAACAGGCACGCACAUUGAAACAGUUCAACCAUCAUCUCAUUGUGAGGAUCCACAGAAAGUAAGGACACUGUGCUCCUCACUUUCUUUGGUUUAAGAUAUAUUAAAACAUUAUAUUUUCAUCUAAUUCAUGAUAAAACCAUGAAAUUGAAUCAAAUUCAAAUGAUCCAUAACAAUGUGAAGGUGGUUGGUUGUGUACCUUCCAUUCUUGUGAGGAAUGACAGCAGCAUGCUGCCGUGAGACAGACUGGUGGUCAAGCACAAAGUCACAAGUUUGAAAUUGCCGUCCAAAUAUGUGCCUCCGCUUAUCCAAAUGGAUGUUAUCAAGAACCUCGCCAUCCUUGAUGACUUCAAGAUAAUAAAAACCAGGACAAGGUUCAAUUGCCCAAUCAGGGGGCUGCCAAGUUGAUUGGCCCCCUCCAACCUGAGUCACUGGCUGAGUUGGGGGUACAGGUUGUGCAACAUCCGGCAGUAGAGGCUUCUGGGAGCCAGGGUUUUGGUUAUGGAACUGGCUUAGGUGGUGCUGAGAGUUGGAAGCAGAAGGGCUGGCAAGUGGUUUAUUGGAAGGCUGUGUGGGUGAUUUAGCAUUGGCAGAAGAAUUACUCACACUGACAGAAAAUGGUUCCGAAGUUUGAGCCUUCUUGAAGCGAUCAAGACCAGCUCUCCCAUACAUUUUCUUGAAGAAUUGUAAUCGUUGUUCGUUCUUGCACAGAGUUUCUUAAGAAAUAGUACACUUCAAUCAGAUAUUAGGUAAAUGGUAGCGCUCCAGCAUCCUCAACUAACACACACACACACACACACAGAACUUCAAACAGAUGUUGAAGUCUACAGGCGCUUCACUUAGAGCAAGCAACAAACUGUGCUUGAGAGAGAGAAUGAGAGAUUUGCCGCUUUUGACACUUCAGAAGCUCCUAAAACGAGUUAUAAAGGUGGAAGAGAGCCUUUAGCCCCUCUGACUGCAGAAUCGAAGCAUGCAGCCAACCACUGAAAGUGUGAAAGAUGCAAUCUUUGGCACCUCUCUUCUCAAAGAUACCAAAUAUGAAUUUAUGAGGACUCAUCAUUCUGCUAAAUUGAUACUAGUCUAGCCUAGAAGUUUCAUGCUUUUCUGCUCAGACAUUCAACUGUUUAUAUACUCUCUCCCAAGAUGGGUUAAACUAGUCAAAAUUUUGCACUUGACUUGUUCGUCUACAUCAAUGCCGCUGCUCCAUAAAUAUUUGUCGGGUAUGUCACAUUUAUAGUAUCCUCCUUGAGUUGCAUAAUGACUACAAAUGCUUACCUUAGAAAAGCAGUAGAUUUUGGAAACUCAUAUGCUUUCCACAUAUGCAGAAUCCUCAGAAGUUUCUCCUUAUCAUUGUAGGGUAGGUCCUUUAAUUCUUAAAAAGUCAAGUGAGAAUAUAGUGCAAGUGGAGCCCUUCAAGGUUUUGUGGCAAUAGUGCCUGCUGUGGACAGAAAAUUAUUGUUGAACUAAGGGAAGCUUUUAUUUUACCCUAUCC
rnacentral:lncRNA from 1 species